GGCUUCCGCGCUCUUUGAAAUGUCCGGCGCCGGAAUGUCUGGGUGCUUUGGUUGGAGAGGGUCCCAUUUCCAGUCAUUCUUCAGCCUGGUGAUUCCCGCGCUCCCCUGAGGAGCAUAUGAAGUACGUCGGUUCUGCCAGGUUGGAACGCGCUGCUGGACACUCGGCCGUAAGGCGGAUCCCGGAUCCCCUCCCACUCCGACCCUUCCCUCCAGAAGGGCCGGUUCCCAAACGGCCCCUUUAGACACAUCCAAGCGGUUGCCGACGGCCCUCACGAUGAAAACUGCUGUCCGUUGGUGAAGGCAGCCUCUUCUGUGCUCCUCGCCGCUGACUUCCUGAGGCGGACCUACCUGUGGAGGCAUACCAGGAACCAGACGAUGACCCCCUCCAAAAGUUGGGUCUUUGAGGAGAGCUACUAACUUGGGUUCCUGGUACACCCUCUACAUGCAGUGGUGAAGCUUAUCUAACAGUCAUUCAUAGAAUCAGUUUGGGAAGGGGAAUUUUCACUGAACUCUCAUAGAGAAACUGUGUUUUAGAUAACAGAAAGUUCUGCACGGUUAAAAUGGAACAGAAAUUUUUUUGCACAGAAAUUAGGAUUACCGAAAAUACUGAAGAAAGACUACCUCUGAUUGGACUCUUCUCAAGGAAUUAAUAAUUCAAGAACUAAGGAAAGAAAAAAGUGAUUAUAUGAAAAUACUGAAGUUGAUCGUAGCAGCUGAAGGCUGAUCCUGUGUGGGUAAAUGUAAACGCUGAAUUCCCACAUUCCAAUGUGCGACCUGGGAUUAAGGCAGCAAUUGAGCAGGGCUGAAGUACAUUGGUGCAAUCUUGGCUCACUGCAUCUCCACCCCAGGUUCAAGCGAUUCUCCUGCCUCAGCCUCCCAAGCAGCUGGGAUUACAGAAUGUCACAUAAAUGGAAUCAUACUGUGUCCGGAAUUGGUGGGUUCUUGGUCUCACUGACUUCAAGAAUGACGCCAUGGGCCCUCGCGGUGAGUGUUACAGCUCUUAAGGUGGCGCGUCUGGAGUUUGUUCCUUCUGAUGUUCGGAUGUGUUCGGAGUUUCUUCCUUCUGGUGGGUUCGUGGUCUCGCUGGCUCAGGAGUGAAGCUGCAGACUUUCGCGGUGAGUGUUACAGCUCUUAAGGCAGCACGUCUGGAGUUGUUUGUUCCUCCCGGUGGGCUCAUGGUCUCGCUGGCUUCAAGAGUGAAGCUGCAGACCUUUGCUGUGAGUGUUACAGUUUAUAAAAGCAGCGUGGACCCAAAGAGUGAGCAGUAGCAAGAUUUAUCGCAAAGAGCGAAAGAACAAAGCUUCCACAGUGUGGAAGGGGACCCGAGCGGGUUGCCACUGCUAGCUCGGGCAGCCUGCUUUUAUUCUCUUAUCUGGCCCCACCCACAUCCUGCUGAUUGGUAGAGCCAAGUGGUCUGUUUUGACAGGGCGCUGAUUGGUGCAUUUACAAUCCCUGAGCUAGACACAAAGGUUCUCCAUGGCCCCAUCAGAUUAGUUAGACACAGAGUAUCGACACAAAGGUUCUCCAAGGCCCCACCAGAGCAGCUAGAUACAGAGUGUCGAUUGGUGCACUCACAAACCCUAAGCUAGACAUAAAUGUUCUCCAAGGCCCCACCAGAGUAGCUAGAUACAGAGUGUCAACUGGUGCACUCACAAACCCUGAGCUAGACACAGGGUGCUGAUUGGUGUGUUUACAAACCUUGAGGUAGAUACAGAGUGCCGAUUGGUGUAUUUACAAUCCCUGAGCUAGACAUAAAGGUUCUCCAAGGCCCCACCAGAGUAGCCAGAUACAGAGUGUCGAUUGGUGCAUUCACAAACCCUGAGCUAGACACAGGGUGCUGAUUGGAGUGUUUACAAACCUUGAGCUAGAUACAGAGUGCCGAUUGGUGUGUUUACAAUCACUGAGCUAGACAUAAAGGUUCUCCAAGGCCCCACCAGAGCAGUUAGAUAGAGUGUGGAUUGGUGCACUCACAAACCCUGAGCUAGACACAGGGUGCUGAUAGGUGUGUUUACAAACCUUGAGCUAGAUACAGAGUGCCGAUUGGUGUAUUUACAAUCCCUGAGCUAGACAUAAAAGUCCUCCAAGGCCCCACCAGACUCAGGAGCUCAGCUGGCUUCACCCAGUGAAUCCCACACCUGCGCUGCAGGUGGAGCUGCCUGCCAGUCCCAGUGCCAUACGCCCGCACUCCUCAGCCCUUGGGUGGUGGAUGGGACUGGGCGCCGUGGAGCAGGGGGCGGCGCUCAUCAGGGAGGCUCAGGCUGCACAGGAACCCACGGAGUGGGUGGGAGGCUCAGGCAUGGGGGGCUGCAGGUCCCAAGCCCUGCCCGGCGGGAAGGCAGCUAAGCCUCCGUGAGAAAUUGAGCGCAGCGCCGGUGGGCUGGCACUGCUGGGGGACCCAGUACACCCUCCGCAGCUGCUGGCCCGGGUGCUAAGUCCCUCAUUGCCCGGGGCCAGCAGGGCUGGCCGACUGCUCCGAGUGCGGGGCCGCCAAGCCCACGCCCACCCGGAACUCCAGCUGGCCCGCAAGCGCCUCACGCAGCCCCGGUUCCCGCUCGCGCCUCUCCCUCCACACCUCCCUGCAAGCUGAGGGAGUGGGCUCCAGCCUUGGCCAGCCCAGAAAGGGGCUCCCACAGUGCAGUGGUGGGCUGAAGGGCUCCUCAAGUGCCGCCAAACUGGGAGCCCAGGCAGAGGAGGUGCCGAGAGCAAGCGAGGGCUCUGAGGACUGCCAGCACGCUGUCACCUCUCAAUACAGUAUGUAGCCCUUUGAGUCUGUUUUCUCUCACUCAGCAUAACGAUUAUGAUAUUUGUCCAUGUUGAUGUGGGCAUCAAUUUAUAAAAACAAUUUUAAUGCAAACAUUCAAUAGGGCUUCUUUCCCAUUUUCCCAAGAUUUCAUCUCUCUCUCUGCUAUGGACACAGAUGGCUUCACUCCAUCCUGUAUUCUUCGGACCAUGAUAAAAUUCCAGACUCUCGGUAGUUUUUGCGUUCCAAGAAGUAGAGCCUAGAGUGGUGGCCUAUAAUUACAGUUACUCAGGAGGCUGAGGCAGGAGGAUCCUUUGAGUCCAGCAGUUUGAGGCCAGCCUGG
ensembl:lncRNA UBL7-DT UBL7 divergent transcript